rnacentral:rRNA from 1 species
UACGUAGGGUGCAAGCGUUGUCCGGAAUUAUUGGGCGUAAAGAGCUCGUAGGCGGUUUGUCGCGUCUGCUGUGAAAACUCGGGGCUUAACUCCGGGCCUGCAGUGGGUACGGGCAGACUAGAGUGCGGUAGGGGAGACUGGAAUUCCUGGUGUAGCGGUGAAAUGCGCAGAUAUCAGGAGGAACACCGGUGGCGAAGGCGGGUCUCUGGGCCGGUCAACUGACGCUGAGGAGCGAAAGCGUGGGGAGCGAACAGG